rnacentral:rRNA from 1 species
UAAUACGGAGGGUGCAAGCGUUAAUCGGAAUUACUGGGCGUAAAGCGCACGCAGGCGGUUUGUUAAGUCAGAUGUGAAAUCCCCGGGCUCAACCUGGGAACUGCAUUUGAAACUGGCAAGCUAGAGUCUCGUAGAGGGGGGUAGAAUUCCAGGUGUAGCGGUGAAAUGCGUAGAGAUCUGGAGGAAUACCGGUGGCGAAGGCGGCCCCCUGGACGAAGACUGACGCUCAGGUGCGAAAGCGUGGGGAGCAAACAGGAUUAGAUACCCUGGUAGUCCACGCUGUAAACGAUGUCGAUUUGGAGGUUGCGCCCUUGAGGCGUGGCUUCCGGAGCUAACGCGUUAAAUCGACCGCCUGGGGAGUACGGCCGCAAGGUUA